AUGAUCGGCGGCGGUUGGCGGCGGGGGGGAGAAGAAAGGGCGACCGACGGUGAGUCGGCGACCGCAGGGCAUUCAAAGAGAAGUAGUGGCAAGUCCGUGUUAAGCGAGGAGCUCUAUCAGGGUGUCUACAUGGCUGCAAACUCCAUUCAGGAGAGUAUCCUCUGGAUCCAGGCCCAGGAGAAGAAGAUGGUUGCGAUUGGAUGUCGCGGGGACUCCGCGGAUCACAAGAAUCUGUUGGAGUUGAAAUCCGGUCUGUCUGAGUUGUUGGAGAAGCUCUUACGUCUUGCCGAAUCCGAGACCCAGAGGAAGAUCCGCGCGCAGCAGAACGCCUGUUGGAUCGGCAAUAAAGGGAAAGCUGAGAAGAGGAUCCGAUCGAUGAAAUCGAUGGAUAGCCAGAGCAAGAUUGCCGAGGACGCUGAGAUGGAAUUUGUAGGGAAGUCAUCCAAGAGGACCAGCAGCCAAAGCAGAUCCGUGAAUAAGCAGAGCAAGAUUUGCGACGGUGGCAAAUCGAUCUUCAAUCGGUUCAGGGAGCAGGAGCUGCAGGCCAUGAAGGAGCUGUUCGAGGAGCUGCCGGACAAUAUAUCGAUGUCCAUAGCAGCAUCUGUCAAAAACAUUAUUGAGGCCCAGGCGGAGACCUUGAUGGAGGAGAGGGCGGCUGGCUUCAAAUUAGGUUUGUUCUCCCGGCGGUUCGAUGGCCUGUGGGACUCCAUGCGUCAGCUAACCUCGACAGAAUUGAAAUUCCUAGCGAUUUCCAUGUUUACUUGUGAUGAGUCCUUUGUACGCUGCUGCUCCACAUUGAAGUCCAUCUCAGCAGUUAUCGACAGGCUUGGUGAUUGGGUGCCAGAAUUGACAGGGGUAAUAAGACAGACUAAGAAAGAUGAAGCUAUCCUCAUAAGGGAUGUGGAUGUGGUAAUGAGACAGAAUAAGGAAGAUGAAGAUGUCCUCACAAGGGAUGGGGAUGUGGUAAUGAGGCAGAAUAAGGAAGAUGAAGAUGUCCUCUCAAGGGAUGAGGAGGAGGAGGAGGAGGAUUUGGAUGUGCGUACAUAUGAGGUGGAGAAGAAGGCUGAGGAGUAUUAUUUCGCUGCUUAUCGUAGAUACUGGGAACGUAGACAUGGCAAUGGUUGCAACUUUGAAGACCCAACGUUAUUCAGCCCCAUGCAGUUCACCCACUACAUGCCAGGCAACGCCGGCCAAACCAUAAAUGAUGCUAAAUUAUUGAGGACCAUGCAGAUCUACUCCAUUAAAGUGGCAGAAACAAAAGGUAUCCCCCUCGAGUGGCCACUGAAUGUAUAUGGUGUGGUUGCUGCCCGAGAUGUUGUGGACCAUCGUUGCAACCAUCUCUUCCUUCGCACUAGGGAUGAUUGCCAAAUCCUUACGGAAGAGAAUCCUUUUUUGCACUUGACUGGCCCGUCUCGUGCAAUUAUGUCUGGUGACACUGUUAUGAUUGAAGUCCAACUACAACUAAAGGGCAGAGUGCAGUCUGAAGAUGCAGUAUUGAUCGGUAAAGCCUUCACUUAUGAUGAUGAUGAUCAUGACGAUCAUGGUGAUAGUCACCUCCAGGGCCUUUGCACAAUAGUGUUAAGCUGUGAGCAUCUUGAACAAUCAGUCCAAGCCACAAUCCUCAGUGUCUGUGCUGUACAGGGCUCAUUGCCUUGGGGAAAUGGCAUUGUUUGCUCGGCACUAUCUUUAGACAAAACUGAAGUUGGUGUUACAGGCUCGCCUAAGCAUGUUUUGCUGUUUGAUUCACAAGCUGGAACAAUGCCUGAGGAUGAAGAGUGUUAUCUCGAGCUGUCGAGGAAUGUGGUGUCUGUAAAAUCAACAGGAGAGCUCACAAUUUUCAUGAGGGCUGGAGAACUCAGUGGAAGUGUCGUCUUCACACCCCAAUCCAGCAACGUAAGUCAAGGACGUUGUAACCUUGGCAAUUGUUUAGUGGAGAUAACUGUUGCUUGGUCCCUCCUUGUUGAAAGCCAGCAUCUUAUCAAGCUGAGAGGAUCUAUAGAGCCUUAUGGAAACAAGUUAAGUACAUGUAUGCCUUUCAUGAAACUUGUUAAAGACGCUUGUUGA
rnacentral:rRNA from 1 species